ACACUUACACUACACUUGGUAAUUUUGUAAACUACAGCUAUUUUGAUUGGUUGACUGUCACAGUUUGGGCACGAUUUUAAAUUAUUUGAAGUAUAUUUUUGCACUAUAUGUUUCUUAAUUUUGUGAGAACAUUGUUUUUACCAGGAUGCUAUGGUCUACCAAAUUUGUGUUUGUGCUUACAUCACAAAAACAACUACUUUUAUCUUCAAUGAUGAACUUGUUAACUGAAUUUGCCAUAGCAAUCACACUAUGGUCAGCUGUUGCACUGAAGACAGAAUAAACUUCCAAAAGCUUUCCUCUUUUCCAGAAUGCAUGUGAGGAAUCAAAUGAUUAUUGGUCUUCACUUACCUGACUUCUCUUUGACGCAUCUGAUGGCAGUGAUCACUCAACUCUUUGCAAAUCUAUGCUAAUGAGCAGUGUGGUACCAUCUUCUGAAAAUAUGAAAUUUUGAAACAGAUGUUGAUGCUUCUUGGGCAGAUUGAUGUCUUCUCGUAUUCACGUGGUCGGUGAUUGACCAUGGCGCCCGUGGUGGAUGCUUCAGCUGCAUUUUGAUCUGGAACACCUUGGCUGUUGUGUGAAGAGCCAGCAGUGAGAAGGAGCAUGUCUGCAGGCCAUUCCCAUUUCUGUCAAGGGAGUUGUAGGGUGGAGCAGCAUGGGUGUGGUUACCCAGGCUGUACCCAUGCUGAGAACCUCAAGAAUCUGAGUCCAUUUUCAGGACUCCCUGGGGACAGAUUAGUUUAAAGUGGAAUUCCCAUGCUAAUCCUAGAAACACAGUAACUCACUUUUAUACAGAGCUUUGUCAUGUAAGAACAUGUUCCCUGGCAGCAGGGAGAUUGGUUAUCUUUACUAUACAGAUGACAAAAACUGAGUUUUGUAGAGGUUAAAUGAGCUAGCCAGAGGUCACAAAACAACUAAGGGGCAGAGCUGGGGAUUGCACCCAGGUGUCCUAAUUCCCAGGUCUACUUUACUAGGUGUGUCUUGAUAUUCUCUCAACAGACCAGGGCGGAAGCCAGAACCCAGGCAAGGUCUUACCAGCCUCAGCUGGGACCUGAAGGGCUAUCAGGGGACCACUCUCUAGGACUGGGAGGGCAAGGAAAGCUUGACACAGAAAUUUACUCCUCACUGUGAAUUUACUUCACCGUGCAUAUCACAAGAUACCUUCUAAAUACUUUCCUGUCAGUCUUUUUGCAUUUUUCAUCUUCUUGGUCUUUUGCUCAUUAUCAAGUGUUAUGAUCCUUGUCUAUGGAAAUAAGCCCUGGUUAGAGUCAAUUUUCUGACAUCUCCCAUCUCCCAGUACUAUGCUCUACUUCAUACAUCCAAUAUUAGAGCAAAAAUCCACGACCAGCUUUAUAUGUAUAAUAAUCUAUAACUAUGACACAGCAGAAAAAUAUGAGAUCCUGGCACAAGCAAUGCUUAAAGUUAAAAAAUUCCAAGUUCUAGAUCUGCUUAUGAUCCUCGUUGCGGAGGUUCCUUGGACCAAUUACACAAUUUCCCCUAUGUGAUAUUUUUAGAAAUCAUGAUUCUGAUAUAGUUGUAUAUUUUCAAAUUUCAAGUAUGUUUUCAUCCAUUUUUCUUAAUAAAGGUGUUCAGUUUUCUUCCUUUGAAGACAACCUUGCACAGCAUGUAGUUAUUUCAUUGGCUCAACAGUGAUGUCAUACUCAAAGUACACAGCCUUGUUGCCAAGUUUCCUGGUGAAGUAAUUGUCGGUUGGUAUUUAAGAACCCACAUUGAUUGAAACUAUUUCUCAUGAUGUCACCCUGUGUCAGGGCAGGGGUCCAGAAGAUAGGAUUGCUUCUGACCUUCAGGGCACAGAAAUGUGCAAUUAGCUACCUUUUGGCAAAAUGCCCUUGAGAUACACAAAUGAGGUUAAGAGGUACAUUUGAACAAUUCCAUUAAAGUACUUUUUAAUUUUUAAUUUAUGAUUUUCCCAAUUCUAUCCAGUCCCUUUCUGAGGAUGAAGUUUUUUUUUCUUUUAUCAUGAAAAAUUUCAAACAUAUGAAAGAGUCAAACAUAGAGAGAAUUGUUUGAAAACCCACAAACCUCU